rnacentral:rRNA from 1 species
GACGAACGCUGGCGGCGUGCUUAACACAUGCAAGUCGAACGGAAAGGCCCUGCUUUUGUGGGGUGCUCGAGUGGCGAACGGGUGAGUAACACGUGAGUAACCUGCCCUUGACUUUGGGAUAACUUUAGGAAACUGGGGCUAAUACCGGAUAGGAGCUCCUGCUGCAUGGUGGGGGUUGGAAAGUUUCGGCGGUUGGGGAUGGACUCGCGGCUUAUCCGCUUGUUGGUGAGGUAGUGGCUUACCAAGGCUUUGACGGGUAGCCGGCAUGGGAGGGGGACCGGCCACAUGGGGACUAAGAUACGGCCCAGACUCCUACGGGAGGCAGCAGUGGGGAAUAUUGCACAAUGGGCGGAAGCCUGAUGCAGCAACGCCGCGUGCGGGAUGACGGCCUUCGGGUUGUAAACCGCUUUCGCCUGUGACGAAGCGUGAGUGACGGUAAUGGGUAAAGAAGCACCGGCUAACUACGUG